rnacentral:rRNA from 1 species
UUUGCGUCGAAGGUAUACCGGUAAGGAGUGCUGGAGCGAAUAGAAGUGAGCAUGCAGGCAUGAGUAGCGAUAAUUAAUGUGAGAAUCAUUAACGCCGUAAACCCAAGGUUUCCUACGCGAUGCUCGUCAUCGUAGGGUUAGUCGGGUCCUAAGCCGAGUCCGAAAGGGGUAGGCGAUGGCAAAUUGGUUAAUAUUCCAAUACCAACAUUAGUGUGCGAUGGAAGGACGCUUAGGGCUAAGGGGGCUAGCGGAUGGAAGUGCUAGUCUAAGGUCGUAGGAGGUUAUACAGGCAAAUCCGUAUAACAAUACUCCGAGAACUGAAAGGCUUUUUGAAGUCUUCGGAUGGAUAGAAGAACCCCUGAUGCCGUCGAGCCAAGAAAAGUUUCUAAGUUUAGCUAAUGUUGCCCGUACCGUAAACCGACACAGGUGGGUGGGAUGAGUAUUCUAAGGCGCGUGGAAGAACUCUCUUUAAGGAACUCUGCAAAAUAGCACCGUAUCUUCGGUAUAAGGUGUGGUUCGCUUUGUAUUAGGAUUUACUCCGAAAGCAAGGAAACUUACAACAAAGAGUCCCUCCCGACUGUUUACCAAAAACACAGCACUCUGCUAACUCGUAAGAGGAUGUAUAGGGUGUGACGCCUGCCCGGUGCUCGAAGGUUAAUUGAUGGGGUUAGCAUUAGCGAAGCUCUUGAUCGAAGCCCGAGUAAACGGCGGCCGUAACUAUAACGGUCCUAAGGUAGCGAAAUUCCUUGUCGGUUAAAUACCGACCUGCAUGAAUGGCGUAACGAGAUGGGAGCUGUCUCAAAGAGGGAUCCAGUGAAAUUGUAGUGGAGGUGAAAAUUCCUCCUACCCGCGGCAAGACGGAAAGACCCCGUGGACCUUUACUACAGCUUGACACUGCUACUUGGAUAAGAAUGUGCAGGAUAGGUGGGAGGCUUUGAGUAUAUGACGCCAGUUGUAUAUGAGCCAUUGUUGAGAUACCACUCUUUCUUAUUUGGGUAGCUAACCAGCUUGAGUUAUCCUCAAGUGGGACAAUGUCUGGUGGGUAGUUUGACUGGGGCGGUCGCCUCCCAAAUAAUAACGGAGGCUUACAAAGGUUGGCUCAGAACGGUUGGAAAUCGUUCGUAGAGUAUAAAGGUAUAAGCCAGCUUAACUGCAAGACAUACAAGUCAAGCAGAGACGAAAGUCGGUCUUAGUGAUCCGGUGGUUCUGUGUGGAAGGGCCAUCGCUCAAAGGAUAAAAGGUACCCCGGGGAUAACAGGCUGAUCUCCCCCAAGAGCUCACAUCGACGGGGAGGUUUGGCACCUCGAUGUCGGCUCAUCGCAUCCUGGGGCUGGAGCAGGUCCCAAGGGUAUGGCUGUUCGCCAUUUAAAGCGGUACGCGAGCUGGGUUCAGAACGUCGUGAGACAGUUCGGUCCCUAUCUGCCGUGGGCGUAAGAAGAUUGAAGAGAUUUGACCCUAGUACGAGAGGACCGGGUUGAACAAACCACUGGUGUAGCUGUUGUUCUGCCAAGAGCAUCGCAGCGUAGCUAAGUUUGGAAAGGAUAAACGCUGAAAGCAUCUAAGCGUGAAGCCAACUCUAAGAUGAAUCUUCUCUAAGCUCUCUAGAAGACUACUAGUUUGAUAGGCUGGGUGUGUAAUGGAUGAAAGUCCUUUAGCUGACCAGUACUAAUAGAGCGUUUGGCUUAUCUUUAAUAAAGCAU